UACGUAGGUGGCAAGCGUUAUCCGGAUUUACUGGGUGUAAAGGGCGCGUAGGCGGGGAUGCAAGCCAGAUGUGAAAUCUAUGGGCUUAACUCAUAAACUGCAUUUGAAACUGUGUCUCUUGAGUGCUGGAGAGGUAGAUGGAAUUCCUUGUGUAGCGGUGAAACGCGUAGAUGUAAGGAAGAACACCGGUGGCGAAGGCGAUCUACUGGACAGUAACUGACGCUGAGGCGCGAAAGCGUGGGGAGCAAAC
rnacentral:rRNA from 1 species